rnacentral:rRNA from 1 species
GGUAAGGCUACUUUGUGAUUGCGGCGACGGGUGAUGCUCGUGGGAUCUACCUACCAGUGGGGGAAGCAGGCGGAAACGACUGCUAUUACCGCAUACGUCCUAUGGGAUAAAGCAGGGGAUCUUCAGACCUCGCGCUAUUAUAUGAGCCCGCGUAAGAUUACCUUGUUGGUGGGGUAAUGGCCUACCAAGGCGACGAUCUUUAACUGGUCUGAGAGGAUGAUCAGCCGCACUGCGACUGAGACACGGCCCAAACUCCUACAGGAGGCAGCAGUGGGGAAUAUUGGACAAUGGGGGCAACCCUGAUCCAGCCUUGCCGCGUGUGUGAAGAAGGCCUUCGGGUUGUAAAGCACUUUAAACAUGGAUGAAGGCUAGUAAAUUAAUACCUUGCUAGACUGACUUUAACUGCAGAAUAAACACCGGCUAACUCCGUGCCAGCAGCCGCGGUAAUACGGAGGGUGCGAGCGUUAAUCGGAAUUACUGGGCGUAAAGCGCGCGUAGGUGGUAAUUUAAUCGAGAUGUGAAAUCCCCGGGCUUAACCUGGGACCUGCAUUUCGAACUGGGUUACUAGAGUACAGUAUAGGGGAGUGGAAUUUCAUGUGUAUCGGUGAAAUGCGUAGAGAUCUGAAUGAACAUCAGUGGCGAAGGCGACUCUCUGGACUGAUACUGACGCUGAGGUGCGAAAGCGUGGAGAGCAAACAAGAUUAUUACCCUGGUAGUCCACGCCGUAAACGAUGUCGACUACCCGUUGGCCUCCUUGAGGGGUGUAUUGGCGCAGCUAACACAUUAAGUCGACCGCCUGGGGAGUACGGCCGCAACGUUAGAACUCUCAUGAAAUGACGGGGGGCCCGCACAAACGGUGGAGCAUGUGUGUUUAAUUUCGAAUCACGCGAAGAAACUCUACCUACUCUUGACAUCCUAGAUACUUUAUAUAGAUGCGUUGGUGUCUUCGGGAAUCUAGUGACAGGUGCUGCAUGGCUGUCAUCGC